rnacentral:misc_RNA from 1 species
GAUGAAGAACGUAGCGAAAUGCGAUAAGUAAUGUGAAUUGCAGGAUUCAGUGAAUCAUCGAAUCUUUGAACGCACAUUGCGCCCGCUAGUAUUCUGGCGGGCAUGCCUGUCCGAGCGUCAUUUCAACCCUCAAGCCCCCGGGCUUGGUGUUGGGGAUCGGCGAGCCUCCGCGCCCGCCGUCCCCUAAAUCUAGUGGCGGUCUCGCUGUAGCUUCCUCUGCGUAGUAGCACACCUCGCACUGGGAAACAGCGCGGCCACGCCGUUAAACCCCCAACUUCUGAACGUUUGACCUCGGAUCAGGUAGGAAUACCCGCUGAACUUAAGCAUAUCAAUAAGCGGAGGA